rnacentral:rRNA from 1 species
GACGAACGCUGGCGGCGUGCUUAACACAUGCAAGUCGAACGGAAAGGCCCUGCUUUUGUGGUGUGCUCGAGUGGCGAACGGGUGAGUAACACGGGAGUAACCUGCCCUUGACUUUGGGAAGCCUUCAGGACACUGUGUCUAAUUCCGGAUAAGCGCUCCUGCGGCAUGGUGGGGGUUGGAAAGUUUCGGCGGAUGGGGAUGGACUCGCGGCUUAUCAGCGUGUUGGUGGGGUAGUGGCUUACCAAGGCUUUGACGGGUAGCCGGCCUGAGAGGGUGACCGGCCACAUUGGGACUGAGAUACGGCCCAGACUCCUACGGGAGGCAGCAGUGGGGAAUAUUGCACAAUGGGCGGAAGCCUGAUGCAGCAACGCCGCGUGCGGGAUGACGGCCUUCGGGUUGUAACCCGCUUUCGCCUGUGACGAAGCGUGAGUGACGGUAAUGGGUAAAGAAGCACCGGCUAACUACGUG